UCGAGACCCGAACGAACGGACGAUCGCGAACGUGUUAUAUAUUUGCCAACCAAAACGACUUCGGUUCGUCCCGCCGCCCCUCGCGGGGCGGCGUGGCGAGACGGAGGAAACGAACCCCCGGCGCGGUGGGCGCCAAGGAACACUUUUUAGAAGCGCCGUCGCGGGGGGGAACGCGGGCGUGGAUAUAGAUAUCGUAUUUUGUACGACUCUCGGCAACGGAUAUCUAGGCUCUCGCAUCGAUGAAGAACGUAGCCAAAUGCGAUACUUGGUGUGAAUUGCAGAAUCCCGUGAACCAUCGAGUCUUUGAACGCAAGUUGCGCCCGAGGCCAUCCGGCCGAGGGCACGCCUGCCUGGGCGUCACGCCUCCCGUCGCUCCCCACACCCGUGUGCCGAUGCCGAGAUUGGCCCACCGUGCUUCGUGCGCGGCGGGUCGAAGUGCGGGCCGUCGUCGGGCCGGGCGCGGCGAAUGGUGGACGAAUACUUCGUUGUUUGUGCCUACUCUCCGUGCCCCGGCCCUCAACAAUGCGACGUGCCGUCGUCGGACCCCCCACCAAGGAAGGAUUUCGGAAAGAGCCCUCCUCUUAACG
rnacentral:misc_RNA from 1 species